UACGAAGGGGGCUAGCGUUGUUCGGAUUUACUGGGCGUAAAGCGCACGUAGGCGGAUCGUUAAGUCGGGGGUGAAAUCCUGGAGCUCAACUCCAGAACUGCCUUCGAUACUGGCGAUCUUGAGUCCGGAAGAGGUGAGUGGAACUCCUAGUGUAGAGGUGGAAUUCGUAGAUAUUAGGAAGAACACCAGUGGCGAAGGCGGCUCACUGGUCCGGUACUGACGCUGAGGUG
rnacentral:rRNA from 1 species